GACGAACGCUGGCGGCGUGCUUAACACAUGCAAGUCGAGCGGAGCGGCGCACGGGUGAGUAACGCGUGAGUAACUGCCCCCCUCUCUGGGAUAACAGUUGGAAACGGCUGCUAAUACCGGAUAGUGGGGGAUGAAUCGCGUCCUAUCCGCUUGUUGGUGGGGUAGUGGCCUACCAAGGCGACGACGGGUAGCCGGCCGGAGAGGGCGACCGGCCACAUUGGGCUGAGAGACGGGCCAAAAUCCUACGGGAGGCAGCAGUGGGGAAUAUUGCGCAAGGGGGGAAACCCUGAUGCAGCAACGCCGCGGGGGGGAUGAAGGGCUUCGGGUUGUAGACCGCGUUCAGCCAUGACGCGGUAGUGGCAGAAGAAGCAACGGCUAACUACGUGCCAGCAGCCGCGGUAAUUC
rnacentral:rRNA from 1 species